UUUAAACCAAAUGCCUGCCCUCAGGGAUUUCUCGGUUAUAAAAAGGCAUCCUUGAUCCCACUUAUGAGUUCCUCAGUAGGUAUAUACCUGUGUGUACUGGUAGCAAUAUUUAAUGUGGCCCAUGCUGGCUUGACAAUGGUGGUAGAUAUGUUCCAAAUUUUCUUGGGCAUAAGUGCAACGACUGGCAAGCAGGAUUUUCCUAUACUUUAAAGGGGCUCGUGGGGGAGUCUGUUACUUAAAAUAAGCCAUAAAAUAGGUGUUUUUCAUUCGUCUAGUAACUUUCGUAUUCAGUUCAAGUUUUGUUCUUUUUUAGAAUAUUUUUUAGGUGAUGAUUUUCGACAGAAUAUAUGUGUUAUCAGCAUUUUCAAUGAUAUUUUUAGGGAUUGGGAAGGAUAAUUCAUUUCCAGUAACAACUCCAGAUUUAUCCUUUCAUUUGACUGAUUCCAAAGCUUCCUAGGUGCUUUGUUUUUGCUAUAUCGUGCCGACCGAUCAAGACUCAGGAAUAUUUUCCUUUUCCUUAUUAUGGGUUCAUUGGUUCACAACAAAGGUUACACUUACACUGCUGCCAAGCUCACAUCAAUACAUGAAAUGAUUCGAGCUCAACACAUAAUCCAUAAAUAG
rnacentral:lncRNA from 1 species